rnacentral:rRNA from 1 species
GAUGAACGCUGGCGGCGUGCCUAAUACAUGCAAGUCGAGCGAACGGACGAGAAGCUUGCUUCUCUGAUGUUAGCGGCGGACGGGUGAGUAACACGUGGAUAACCUACCUAUAAGACUGGGAUAACUUCGGGAAACCGGAGCUAAUACCGGAUGAUAUUUUGAACCGCAUGGUUCAAAAGUGAAAGACGGUCUUGCUGUCACUUAUAGAUGGAUCCGCGCUGCAUUAGCUAGUUGGUAAGGUAACGGCUUACCAAGGCAACGGUGCAUAGCCGACCUGAGAGGGUGAUCGGGCACACUGGAACUGAGACACGGUCCAGACUCCUGCGGGAGGCAGCAGUAGGGAAUCUUCCGCAAUGGGCGCAAACCUGACGGAGCCACGCCGCGUGAGUGAUGAAGGUCUUCGGAUCGUAAAACUCUGUUAGUAGGGAAGAACAUAUGUGUAAGUAACUGUGCACAUCUUGACGGUACCUAGUCAGAAAGCCACGGCUAACUACGUG